CUGCGUUCGGACCCGUCGGAUCGUAAAUCCCACGUAAGGUCGGAAGAUUUGAACUUUCUACUUGGACACCUAACACCCACAGUCCUCCAGGUGGGUCCUAAGGAUCUUAGGAGCAACGAUGGGGGGGUCCUAAGCCAGGAGGGGAAGAGGGUCUGGCUCUCAGUCCCCGCCUCGCGGGGGGUGCCUCCCCCCUCUGCGAUGGGGGUCCUAAGAGCCAGUGGGGGAACCAGGGGCUGGCUCUCAGUCCCUGCCUCGCGGGGGGUGCCUCCCCCCUGCGAUGGGGGUACUAACAGCCAGGGGUGGAAGAGGGGAUAGCUCUCAGUCCCCACUCUUGUGGUGGGUGCCUCCCCCUCCUGCGAUCGGGGUCCUCAGAGCCGGGGGGCGGGGAAGAGGGUCUGGCUCUCAGUAAUCCCACGUAAGGUACCUGCUGUCGGAAGAUUUGAACUUUCUACUUGGACUACUAACACCCACAGUCCUCCAGGUGGGUCCUAAGGAUCUUAGGAUCAACGAUCGGGGGUCCUAAGCCGGUGGGGGAAGAGGGUCUGGCUCUCAGUCCCCGCCUCGCGGGGGGUGCCUCCCACCUCUGCGAUGGGGGUCCUAAGAGCCAGUGGGGGAACCAGGGGCUGGCUCUCAAUCUCUGCCUCGGGGGGGUGCCUCCCCCCUCCUGCGAUGGGGGUACCAACAGCCAGGGGCGGAAGAGGGGAUAGCUCUCAGUCCCCACCCUCGUGGGGUUGCCUCCCCCUCCUGCGAUGGGGGUCCUAAGAACCCGGGGGGGAAGAGGGACUGGCUCUCAGUCCCUGCCUCGCGGGGGUGCCUCCCCCCCUGCGAUGGGGGUACUCACAGCCAGGGGCGGAAGAGGGGAUAGCUCUCAGUCCCCACUCUCGUGGGGGGUGCCUCCCCCUCCUGCGAUGGGGGUCCCCAGAGCCAGGGGGGGAAGAGGGACUGGCUCUCAGUAAUCCCACGUAAGGUACCUGCCGUCGGAAGAUUUGAACUUUCUACUUGGACAACUAACACCCACAGUCCUCCAGGUGGGUCCUAAGGAUCUUAGGAUCAACGAUGGGGGGUCCUAAGCCGGGGGGGAAGAGGGUCUGGCUCUCAGUCCCCACCCUCGCGGGGGGUGCCUCCCCCUCCUGCGAUGGGGGUCCCCAGAGCCAGGGGGGGAAGAGGGACUGGCUCUCAGUCCCUGCCUCGCGGGGGGUGCCUCCGCCCCCAGCGAUGGGGGUCCUAAGAGCAAAGGGGGGAAGAGGGGCUCGCUCUCAGUCCCCGUGUCGUGAGGGGUGCCUCCUCCCCUGCGAUGAGGGUGCAAAGAGCCAGGGGAGGAAAGGGGGAGGUUCGCAGUCCCCGCCUCGCGGGGAUUGCCUCCCCCACUGCGAUAGUGGUCCCAAGAGCCAGGCGGGGAAGAGGGGUUGGCUCUGAGUCCCCGCCUCGCGGGGGGUGCCUCCCCCCACUGCGAUGGGAGUCCCAAGAGCCAGGGGGGAAGAGGGGAUGGAUCUCAGCCAUCACAAAAUGGGGGGCCUUUAUAUUCAGGUUUUACCCAAGAAUCAGCUUAUUUGCUUCUUGUACUAGCAGGGCAGUUGCUGCCAAGGCCCUCUAAUAGGGGGGCCAUCCUUUAGAAACCUGUCUAGUUGUUUAGAGACGUAGGCUACCGGCCUCAGCCAGGGCCCCACAGUUUGGGUUAAAAGUCCAGCUGCCAUCUUUUCUCUCUCUGACGCAUACAAUGGAAAAGGCUUUGUCAGAUCGGGUAGCCCCAGGGCUGGGGCUGCCAGAAGUUUUUCCUUUAACUAAUGAAAGACUUGCUGUUGUCGGGAUCCCCAUUUCAAAGUUUCCGGGUCCCCGCCCCCUUUGUGACCUCAUACAAAGGCUUGGCUAAUACUGCAAUGUUUGGGAUCCACAGUCUACGAAACCCCACAGCUCCUAAGAAUUCUCUCACCUGCCUUCUGCCCUUAAGCUCCGGUAGAUUGCAAAUAACCUGCUUUCUUUCUGUUCCCGAGCUGCGUUCGGACCCAUGUCUUAUUGUAAAUCCCACGCAAGCUGCGUUCGGACCCGUCUGAUCGUAAAUCCCAUGUAAGGUACCUGCCGUCGGAAGAUUUGAACGUUCUACUUGGACACCUAAAACCCACAGUCCUCCAGACAGAAAGACAACAGGUACAAAGCCCUAAGGAUUAUAAAGGUAUGCUGCUUACCAUCAUCUUAGUGACCAAGGCAGCGAAGCUGUUUCUGUACCUUGGAACAGUCUUCCCUGACAAGCCAGAGAACAGUGAUAAAGCCACCAGCCUUGGGAUCAGGACUGAAAAGGCAAGAGUGAUGGAGAUUUCUCCUGCGCUAAGCCAAGAGAAGGUUUCAGCACUUCAGACAGCUCCCACCGAAGUAGCCGCGCUCCCAGCUGCUUGCAGAUGUUGAAAAGGAAAGCCUCGGUUUGUCUUGAGGUUGUCAGCAGGUGCAAGACACGUAAUAAAAUGCAAUGUGUUCCUAAUUCAUUGCAUAUCCUCAGCUUUAAAUUUGGGUAGCAAAAUGAUUACUCUAGAUUCUUCAGUCUUGGCAAGUAUCUGUACCUAAAAAGCAGUUUUUCUACCUAAUGUCUUUUUUUGUUUUUGUUUUUCAAUACACCUUAAGCAAAUUGAAGCUUUUGUUCCUGGAGGAAAAGUGGUUUGAUAUGUUCAUCUAUCUUUUAGUAAAUUUGGGGGCAUAACUUUUCCAAUUCUGAGGAACUUUUCUAAGAAGAGUGCAUAAAAGUUUGUUGUUGUUUUUAAAGGAUGCAACAUUCAGCCUGUGUCAUGAGUUUAAUUAUACAAUUUAAAGGACAUAUGUGCAAUGCAUUUUGCAGAUGUGUGCCGGAUAUAUAUGUGCAGAUAAUGGGCAAGUAUAUAUGUGUGCAUAUAUAUAUCGGGAGUAUACUAUAUAAACACACAAUACACGCCCACCCACACACAUUGUGUAUUUUCCAGAAAAAAAAAAAAAAGCAUGUCAGGACUUACAUCUAAGUUAGAGAUGCUGUUUAGAACCCCAUUAAAAAAUGUACAUGUUAUAUCCCUGAUUUGUUUCUCAGGACACCUGUGUUUAUGUGAGAAUCAUUUCUAGACACAUGUCACAAUAAAAAGAAGGACAUGUAUACUCCAAGUUAAGAUUUUUUAAAAAAAGAUGGAGAUCAUCUGAAAUAAAAUUCAGAGCUCUUGCCUUUCCUUUCUCCUAGCGACACCUAGAGCCUGUUGAGAAAAAAACUGCACAUUGUUCUCACUCCAAACAUCCACAAUUCAACAAUUUUAAGUCAGAUUUAAGGUAAAAAGUACAUUUUUCCUGUUUGCAUUGCAGCUUAACUGUCUUCCCCAAGAUUCUCG
rnacentral:lncRNA from 1 species